UAUAUAAAUGCGCAUUUUCCUGAUUAAAGAUAUUCAUUACAUUCAACAGCGAAUCGUAAGAUUGUAUCUCUGGACAAAUUUCCUAUCAAUCGAAUACUUGAUUGAAAAGAUGUCGAAACUAUUUUUCUUGAUGAUUUUAUCCUUAGUUGGAUUGUUGGCUUUGACUGGUGUCAAUGCCAAUUCACAGUGCUGGGAAAAUGAAGACACUCAAGGCUGUCUGAACAAAUGGUGCCAUGCAAUUCAAGGAUACUAUUGUUGUAAAGGUUACAGAUGUUAUUCAGGCGUGUUGGAUUCUGGACAUUGUAUAAAAGAAUGAGGAUUACUUCAAAAUUGAGCACGUAAUAUAUACAUAUAUAUAUGAGACCGUUGGCAAAGUGAAUAUUGACAGAUCUUCUUUCAACAAUUUCAUUUUAUUUUUUUUUUUUAAAUUAAUAAUACAUUUUGUUAAUUCAAAAAUUGUAUCUGAUAAAAAACUAAAAUUCUAUUUUGGCUUAAAAAUAUUAACUGAGCGCUAAAAUUUAACCAUCAAAAUUUUCCUCUUUCCUUGGAUUUAUUUUACUUGUAUUUUUUAUCAUUAUUUUCAUCAGUCAUAAAUUUUUCAUAAAUUUGUUGUAUUAUGACCCGGGUCAAAAAUAAAACUUGAUUUAGACUUGCUUCACUUUAUUUUCUUUUGAAGCUAUCGAUUUGCCGACGAUUUUUCGAUAAGAUGUCGACGUUUUCGACUGAAACUAAAUUUUUUUCAACUUUUUGAACUUUUUUCAUCUUAGUUUCAACUUAUUUCAACUUAUUCAUAUUUUUUGAUCUUAGUUUGAACUUAUUCGUCUUUACUUCGAGCACGAUAGACAUCCACCUUACUUUUGACUUGCUGAAUCAAGUCGAAAAAAAGUUAUUUAUUCGCCUUACUUUCGCAUUAAUAUAUAAAAAUUAUUUCACCUUAGUUUAGACUUUUUCGCCUUAUAUUUUAAGUAGAAUAGGUCUAAACCAAGUCAAUUUCGACUUGAUUUCAACUUUUGUGUCUUGAAUCGUGACUAAGAAAGCCAGUUAAGUAUAAACCAAGGCGAAAACUCAUUGUGCUUCAUAUCUCCGCAAAAAAAGUCGAGUUGGUCUGUGAAAAACUGCUCCAAAUUUCGACUUGGUAAACCAAGUCUAAAUCAAGUUUUAUUUUUGACCCGGGAAUGCUCUGUUGUUAUCUCGGUAUCUUCCAAAAUAUCGAUUCUAGAGAUUUAGUGCUAAGGAUCUCUUGUGUAGAGAAUUAAAUUUACUAUAAAAACGUUCCAUACAUUUUUACGAUAACACUGAUAGUUAAGUCAAUAUUUACGACUAAACAUACAUCGCAUAAUUGCUUUCUAAGAUAAAAAUUUACAAUUAUUUUGGACUCUAAUAUAUUCCUCCAAAUUAUCACAGCUCCAAAAUCAUGAUAAGGCUCUCACUUUCUUGUCAUAUAGUUUACUACAUAUAUAACUUUAUAUCAGUAUUUCAAAUUUUUUAAGAUAUUUAUCACUUAGACUUUAUUAUUAUCAGCAAAUUGCAUCCUCCACAUAUAUAGUUUUAUAUACAUACAUUUUUAACAUAUUGUGAGUUUUCUCAAUAGUUACAAGUAUGGACAGAGCUUUCAUUUAAGGCCGCUUUAACAAAAUUAUAAAAUUAACGCAUACAAAAUAUACAUAGAUUUAUAAUAAUCAGUCAAGAUUAUCAAUUAUAAAUUAUGAAUUAUUAAUAAAAAUUAAUCAUCAGAAUCCUCUUAUAAUAAAACUUGUAAAAUAUUAUCGUUUUCAGUAUUUUUAAUCAGAAAUAUGUAUAAAGUAUAAAAUUAAUAAUAAAAAAGUAUACUCUAUUAUGUAUAUAAUAAAAAAAAACCCAAGCAACCCGAGACGAAAAAUUCAAGUCUCUCUGAGUCUCUGAGAGUCUCUAGAAGGCUCGCUGAGUCUUGCUGAGUCUCUCUGAAUCUUCCUGAGUCUCUCUGAGUCUCCAUUUUAAAGACCAGCAGACAAUCGUGUUUCACAUGGUCUCUUUGAGUCUCCCAGAGUCUCUCAUUCAGAGACUAUGAAAGACUCAGACUAUAAAAUUUCCCAGCAAACAUUAAGUCUCCCAACACGAGACUUAAAGAGACAACUUACAGACUGUAAAAUUUUUUAAGCAAACAUGUAGUCUUUCAACACGAGACUUGGAGAGACUAGAGACUGUAAAAUUUCCCAGCAAACAUUUAGUCUCCCAACACGAGACUUACAGAGACUAAAAACUGGGAAUUUCCCAACAGCUUUAAAAUUUAUCUCUUCAACAAGACCAAACAGUAACAAAAAUUUUAUAAGUAGGGUACGUUUAUCUACGAACAAUAGUGUAUGUACAUAUAAUAAAAUUGGUACUACAUUAGGCAGUAAUAUUUUUACACGUACAAUAUUUUCGUAGGUUGGUGUAAAUUUGUAGGUUUGUGUCCAGAAAAUAAUAUUUUAAAGAUUCAUUCCGAACUGAACCUUCGAAUCGGAUAGUUUGCUUGAAAUAUCAGUGGAUAUCGUGUUGUGUUUCACAGUGUUAAAAAAAUGUUCGUUUUAGUUUUUUGGAUUAAAACCUUGCAAAAGUCUGUUAUUAACGAAAAAGACAUUUGCAUUCCAUCGAGCCCAGACGUUACAGCAGAAGUAGGGGAUAUUGUACUAUAGUGAAAUGGGGAAAAUCGAAGUCUCAAACGAAGAUUCUCCGAUACAUCAGUAAGUUAUUAAAAAUAGUAAAACUUGUAAUAUAACAAUAGUAUAUUACACACCGAGGGAAGUAAAGUAAGAAAUGUCUCAGAUCACAUGUAAUUGUUGGCCGAGGCGAAGCCGAGGUCAACAAACAUGUGAUCUGAGGCUUUCUUAUUUACUUCCCGAGGAAUGUAUACUAUUUUUCUCCUCGACGGAGGCGGAAAGCGGCAACUUCGUUUUGCACAGCGGGACGAAAGUUGACGCUUUCCGCCCGGAGGUGAGAAAAAUAAUUUUCACAACUUCGUAAAGAUUAAAAAAAUUUUUUUUUUCUCUAUUUUCUCUAUCUAUUUAAUGAAAUCUCUGUUCAUAUUCAUAGGGUCUAAAGAAGAAUUAGAAAAAAUAAAUGUUGGGGAAAGAUGGGAACAUCAUUGAUAAAGCAACAAGAAACUCGAAAAAAAAACAAUUCAACAAAAAUAUUGCAGAGAAAAAAAGUUUUAGUAAAUUCAAACUAUUAUCUCAAAAAGCUUGUAAGCAAACUGAGAAAUAUUAUAAUGAAGAACUUUUAUCGAGUUUACUUGAAAAAAAUUGCGAAGAUAAAGAUAAUUACACAGAUGACGAUGAGAUAGUAGCCGAUACAAUUCGAGAUGACAAUAAAACAUCAGAAAUCGAUGAAAUCAGUAAAUCAUGUUAUAUUUCAGUUUCCGAUAAUAGUAUUAGUACCACGUGCGAACUUUGUUCAUCAUUGCCUGUAACAUUAAUUACUGCAU